AUUGAACGCUGGCGGCAGGCCUAACACAUGCAAGUCGAACGGUAACAGGAAACAGCUUGCUGUUUCGCUGACGAGUGGCGGACGGGUGAGUAAUGUCUGGGAAACUGCCUGGUGGAGGGGGAUAACUACUGGAAACGGUAGCUAAUACCGCAUAACGUCGCAAGACCAAAGAGGGGGACCUUCGGGCCUCUUGCCAUCGGAUGUGCCCAGAUGGGAUUAGCUAGUAGGUGGGGUAACGGCUCACCUAGGCGACGAUCCCUAGCUGGUCUGAGAGGAUGACCAGCCACACUGGAACUGAGACACGGUCCAGACUCCUACGGGAGGCAGCAGUGGGGAAUAUUGCACAAUGGGCGCAAGCCUGAUGCAGCCAUGCCGCGUGUAUGAAGAAGGCCUUCGGGUUGUAAAGUACUUUCAGCGGGGAUGAAGGGAGUAAAGUUAAUACCUUUGCUCAUUGACGUUACCCGCAGAAGAAGCACCGGCUAACUCCGUG
rnacentral:rRNA from 1 species